rnacentral:lncRNA from 10 species
UGAACCCUGGAUUUCCAGGUGUCAUUCCAAGGUCAGGUGGAACCAAGGGCUCCAUGGUCUUCACCCCCUGGUGUUACUCCUGAGAUUAUGUUAUGUUUGGUGGGAAAAGGAAUUCUGCAGAUGCCAUUAAGGUUACUAAUCAGAGAGCAUCUGCAUGGGCCUAACCUAAUCACAUGAGCCUUUUAAAAGUAGGGAAUUUUCUCCAGCUUGUUACAGAAGCGAGAUUCUUGUUACAGUUGAGAGAUUCUAAUUGUGAGAGGGAUUCAACAAGAGGAAGCUUCUCCAUUGCUGACUUUACCAUGAAAGGGUCAAUGGGACAAGAACUUGAGAAGCUGAGGGUAGUCCUUGCGGAGACAACAGGGACUUCAGUCCUACAACCACAGCAACUGAAUUCUGCCAACAACCUGAGCAAGCUUGGAAGAAGGUUCUUCUGCAAAGCCUCCAGAUGCAGCCACAGGGCACCAUCUUGGAAGCAGAAAGGAGCCCUCACCAGACACCAAAUCUGCCGGCACCUCAGUCUUAGACUUCCCAGCCUCCAG